rnacentral:rRNA from 1 species
GUCCACGCCCUAAACGAUGAUAACUCGAUAUUGGCGAUAUACUGUCAGUGUCCUAGCGAAAGCGUUAAGUUAUCCACCUGGGGAGUACGUUCGCAAGAAUGAAACUCAAAGGAAUUGACGGGGGUCCGCACAAGCGGUGGAGCACGUGGUUUAAUUCGAUGAUACGCGAGGAACCUUAUCCUGGGCUUGACAUAUACGGAUUAGUGAUGUGAAAGCAGAUCGACACCUUCGGGUGGAACGUAU